UAGGACUAAAUUUUGAAAUUUUUAUUUAAUCACUUAAGUGAUUUUCUUUGUUCAAGCCACUAUGAAACUCAUUACUCCAGACCAGGUUGAAACAGCAGCUUCUGUGGCCUGAAAAGAUGGCAAUACCACUUGGUGUAAGGAGCCGUCCCUGUGCGAAGAAGUUAGCGAUUUACACAGGGACUAGGAUUUAUCUUGGGAGGAAAAGAACACCAAACUUGAUCUUUCCUCUUAUACAAAUAUUUCUGUUGAAUUGAAGUGGGCUGGAUCAGGUUCUUUGGUAAGAAAUGAUAUCAAUGACUCCAAAGAGGCACUCACCUUCAGAGAAGAGGUCACUGGUGCGGGUGACUGGAGCUGAACACAAGAACAGAAGUGACCCUGGCAGUGGCUGGUCCCGCAACAGCCUGUAACAGGGAACAUAAUCAACCACAAAUUUUGUGGGUAGUUUAGGUGUUGAAAAACAAUAGUGAUCAUUAAUAUUGUAUAUACAUUACCUUUUACUAGAUGUCCUACGUAGUUUACACACGAAAAAGAGGAACUAAAGGCUGUGAAAUUCCAACUCAGAAUAUAAAUCAAAAACGAGAAAGCCUUGGUGGUAACUUUGAACCAAUCCCUUAUCUCCUAAAGUGGCAGAGCAGAUAAACUGAGGACCAAUAUCAAGACUGGACUGUCAAAAUUGCAGUUGCAGUGCAAACGAGAUACUCAAUUCAGUUAUGUCUCAAAGUAAGAAGAAACCACUGCUGGGGAAAUAAUAUAAUCCCAAGAAAUAGGAUGUAAAUAUUGUGGCAAAUGCAACAAGGUUGAACACUUUGAAUCUCCACAUCUUUCUAAAUUUCCCUUGUCUUCCAUUUCACAACUCUACAUCCAUACUCAGCACAGGAAAAAUAUCUAAUCUGUUCUUGUCAAGUUGAAUUAUUGGUUAGGGAUUUCUGUGUUAAUCUCAGAUGGAAAAUGUUUAAUUACAAGGUCUUUCCUGUAUCUAAGAGUUAUUACAUGACAGAACAAGUGGACCAACCUCUCUACCUCCAACAGCCUCUUUAUCGCUGAGAUUUUCUGUGUGCCCAUGGCAAGCAGAAUUCCAAGACAAUCCUUGAGAUUUCUACCCCAUUGUGUAUAAUGCACUGCUUUUGAGUACGGGUGAAGCCUGUAAAUAUGAUGCAUUAUCAACCUCAUCAUUAUGUUCUAUUAUAUGCAAUAGAGACUUUAGCAGAUAUAAUUAAAGUUCCACAUUCAGUUAAGUUAAUCAGAUCGGAAAUUAUCUAAUCAGAGUCUGUCCUACUCAGGUGAGGUAUCAAAUGGGGGUCUAGAGUUUUAAAAUGCAAAGAAUCAGAGAGACAUUCUCCCUAUGGCCUCAAACAAGAAAGCAAAUAGCCAUAUUUUGAAUUUCCGUGAAGGUGAAUCAUCAUUAGGGUCUGAGUGUCUCAGUCCUAAAACUACAAUGAACUAAAUUCUGUCAACAACUUAAAUAAGUUUGAAAAAAGACUUCACAUUCCAAAUGAGACUCCAGUCUGACUGACACCUUGAUUUCAGUCUUGUAAGACUUUGACCAGAGAACCCAGCUGAAACGUGGCUGGACUUCUGAACUACUGAACUCUGAGCUAAUAAAUGGAUGUAGCUUGUUUUGAACCAUGAAGUCUGGUGGCUUAUUAUGUAGCAGUGUAAAACUAACUCAGUGCCUCUGACAAUCUGCCCUUACUUUGUAGAAUAUGAUACAGGGCCACCAUUUGCUAAUCUGUUGUGAGUUGAUAUAGUUACUUUUCUUCAUUUUAACUGAAUAGGGCUCAUCUCCCUUCCUCUCUCUCUCUCUGUCUCUCUCUCUCUCUCCACCCCCCCACACACCCCACAC
rnacentral:lncRNA from 1 species